CAUUACCGAGUUAGGGUCUCCUCCGUGAGGCCCGACCUCCCAACCCCGUGUCUAAUAAACCACUUUGUGUUGCUUCGGCGGAACGGCAGUCACCCACCCCCCCCUUAACCCGGAGGGAGGGAGACCGUCGCCGGGGGAUUUCACGGUCUCGCGACCGCCCCUGGAGAGCGUCCGCCGAUGGCCCCAACCAAAUAACUACCAAACCCAAAUUGUAAUUAAAAAAUUUCUGAAUCAGACCUUUUGAUAUACCAAUCAAAAACAAAACUUUCAACAACGGAUCUCUUGGUUCUGGCAUCGAUGAAGAACGCAGCGAAAUGCGAUAAGUAAUGCGAAUUGCAGAAUUUCCGUGAGUCAUCGAAUCUUUGAACGCACAUUGCGCCCUUUGGCAUUCCGAAGGGCAUGCCUGUUCGAGCGUCAUUAUCCUCUCUCAAACCCCCGGGUUUGGUGUUGGACCGCGUUGGCCUUUUACCGGCCAACUGGUCUCAAAGACAAUGACGGCGUCCCAGGGACCCUCUUCGCACUGAGCUUUCCGGAGCACGCGUAGAGUUUCAAGGGCCCAGGGACCCGGUCGCCUCUAAAAACUUUUUUCAGGUUGACCUCGGAUCAGGUAGGAAUACCC
rnacentral:rRNA from 1 species